AUUGAACGCUGGCGGCAGGCCUAACACAUGCAAGUCGAACGGUAACAGGAAACAGCUUGCUGUUUCGCUGACGAGUGGCGGACGGGUGAGUAAUGUCUGGGAAACUGCCUGAUGGAGGGGGAUAACUACUGGAAACGGUAGCUAAUACCGCAUAACGUCGCAAGACCAAAGAGGGGGACCUUCGGGCCUCUUGCCAUCGGAUGUGCCCAGAUGGGAUUAGCUAGUAGGUGGGGUAACGGCUCACCUAGGCGACGAUCCCUAGCUGGUCUGAGAGGAUGACCAGCCACACUGGAACUGAGACACGGUCCAGACUCCUACGGGAGGCAGCAGUGGGGAAUAUUGCACAAUGGGCGCAAGCCUGAUGCAGCCAUGCCGCGUGUAUGAAGAAGGCCUUCGAGUUGUAAAGUACUUUCAGCGGGGAGGAAGGGAGUAAAGUUAAUACCUUUACUCAUUGACGUUACCCGCAGAAGAAGCACCGGCUAACUCCGUG
rnacentral:rRNA from 1 species